AGCAAAUAUAAACCUUAUAGCUGUCGAAAGGAGAAGACAAAGGAGAUGGUGGAUACGACCAUGGCUUAGUCAUGAAAGACGACGCAGUUUUAGUCUAUAUGACCAACUCAUGACCGAACUUAGGCGGGAGGAUCGGCAUUCCUUUGUACACUUCCUUCAAAUGCCCACAGAGAUGUUCGACGAGAUAUUGCAGCGGGUUGGGCCUUGCAAAGCCAAGCAGAAUACCUUUUACAGAAAUCCGCUGGAACCAGGUCUCAAGUUAGCAAUUACACUUAGACACCUUGCUUCUGGAGCAAAAUAUCGUAGCAUGUAGUACGGAUGGAGAGUUCCGCAUAACACCACAUCCGUUUUCAUACCAGAGGUACAUAAUAUAAACAAAUUCAUAAAAUCAACUUAAACUCUAUAUUACCACACUGCUUCUACCUUGAUUUUUUUUUAUCAGAGGAGCUCUAUAUUUGCACACAUAUCAUGCUAAACAAGACGCAAUACAAAAUAAAAUCAACUAAACCAGUUAACUCAAAAAGUGACCCUCGUGUGAAGAAACGUAAAAAA
rnacentral:lncRNA from 1 species